GACGAACGCUGGCGGCGUGCUUAACACAUGCAAGUCGAACGGUGAAGCGCCUUCCUUUUUGGUGGGUGUGGAUGAGUGGCGAACGGGUGAGUAACACGUGAGUAACCUGCCCCCUUCUUCUGGAUAACCGCAUGAAAGUGUGGCUAAUACGGGAUAUUCUGGGUCUGUCGCAUGAUGGGUCUGGGAAAGAUAUUGUUUCGGUGGGGGAUGGGCUCGCGGCCUAUCAGCUUGUUGGUGGGGUGAUGGCCUACCAAGGCGGUGACGGGUAGCCGGCCUGAGAGGGUGGACGGUCACACUGGGACUGAGACACGGACACGACUCCUACGGGAGGCAGCAGGGGGGAAUAUGGCACAGGGGGCGCAAGGCUGAUGCAGCGACGCCGCGUGAGUGAUGGAGGCCUGCGGGUUGUGAACCUCUUUCGCCAGUGAAGCAGGCCUGCCUCGUUUGUGGGUGGGUUGACGGUAGCUGGAUAAGAAGCGCCGGCUAACUACGUG
rnacentral:rRNA from 1 species